rnacentral:rRNA from 1 species
GAUGAACGCUAGCGGCAGGCUUAACACAUGCAAGUCGAGGGGUAUUGGUUUUCGGACCAAGAGACCGGCGCACGGGUGCGUAACGCGUAUGCAAUCUACCUUUUGCAGAGGGAUAGCCCCAGAGAAAUUUGGAUUAAUACCUCAUAGUAUAGUACUUUGGCAUCAAGGAACUAUUAAAGUCACAACGGCAAAGAUGAGCAUGCGUCCAUUAGCUAGUUGGUAAGGUAACGGCUUACCAAGGCUACGAUGGGUAGGGGUCCUGAGAGGGAGAUCCCCCACACUGGUACUGAGACACGGACCAGACUCCUACGGGAGGCAGCAGUGAGGAAUAUUGGACAAUGGGCGCAAGCCUGAUCCAGCCAUGCCGCGUGCAGGAUGACGGUCCUAUGGAUUGUAAACUGCUUUUAUACAGGAAGAAACACUCCGACGUGUCGGAGCUUGACGGUACUGUAAGAAUAAGGAUCGGCUAAACUCCGUGCCAGCAGCCGCG